rnacentral:RNase_P_RNA from 1 species
GCGGGCCAGACGGCCGCGCGUACACGGCGAAAGCCCGUGCGUGAGGAAAGUCCGGGCUCCACAGGGCAAGGAUAACGGGUAACGCCCGCCAGGGGAAACCCUCGGACAAGUGCAACAGAGAUAUACCGCCACGGCACUCCGCCGGCUUUGCCGGCAAAAGAGAAGCAAGGAAGCGAGCGAAGUUUUCACGCGCAGCCCACGGCUGCCGCGCGGAAACGGAGGUGAGCGGACUUUGCUUUUUGGCCCCCGAUGAAAGCCCGCGGCUUUCAUUGGGAAAGGAGGAGCAAGGGAGCGAGCGAAGUUUUCACGCGCAGCCCACGGCUGCCGCGCGGAAACGGAGCCGAGCGGACUUUGCGACGACGUGGUAAGGGUGGAAAGGCGGAGAUAAGCGCCCGCCCGCCGCAUGGAGACAUGACGGCGCUGUAAACUCUAUCCGGAGCAACACCGUGGAAAGGGACACAAGGCCGGCCCGGCCGUCCCGAUGGAGGUGGCUUGAGGCGCGCGGCAACGUGCGUUCGAGAUAGAUGGCCGUCCACGACAGAACCCGGCUUACAGGCCCGCGC